AGUGGCGGACGGGUGAGUAACGCGUAGGCAAUCUGCCCGUAAGAGGGGGAUAACACCGGGAAACCGGUGCUAAUACCGCAUAAUAUUAUUCUGGUGCAUGCCGGGAUAAUUAAAGGAGCAAUCCGCUUACGGAUGAGCCUGCGUCUGAUUAGCUGGUUGGCAGGGUAACGGCCUGCCAAGGCGACGAUCAGUAGCCGGCCUGAGAGGGUGACCGGCCACACUGGAACUGAGACACGGUCCAGACUCCUACGGGAGGCAGCAGUGGGGAAUCUUCCGCAAUGGGCGCAAGCCUGACGGAGCAACGCCGCGUGAGUGAAGAAGGCCUUCGGGUUGUAAAACUCUGUCUUCAGGGAAGAAACAAAUGACGGUACCUGAGGAGGAAGCCACGGCUAACUACGUGCCAGCAGCCGCGGUAAUAC
rnacentral:rRNA from 1 species